ensembl:lncRNA protein FAM122A-like
AUGGAACGGAUGGAAGUGGACCAGUGCGCAGGCGCAGCUGGAGGAGCUGGAGGCGGGGCCCUUCGCAGGUCGAACAGCGCCCCGAUGAUCACCAGCGUCAGUGAUGGGAUGACCAUCUUCAGUCCCGUGUCUUCGGCUCGGUACAGACGCAGCAGUGUGUCCAUCAACCCCAGCUGCCCCUCACAGCUCGGCCCCCUCUCUCCGUUCUCUCUGACCGCAGACAGACCGGACCAGAAGAGACAGGAGGAGAACAUGGAGAUGACGCACAGAGGGAGUCUGCAGAGGAUCAGUCCUUCCAGUCUGAUCCCAGUUCCUCCAGUCACUCAGUGGCACGACCACACUUCAGUGUGGUUUCCGUCACAGGACAGCGGAGUCACACCGAACUCCUCCCCGAGUCCCACCCGGAGAUUCAGACCUGCAGUCAGCGCCACCGUGAGGUGGCCGGCGUUAACGCCGCUGAAGAGGAAGGGGGGGGUGGAGUCAGACGGACCCCCAAAGAAGCUUUUUGUUGCUGGGGUAACAGACCCCUCCCACCGCAGCUACACAGUCAGCGUCUCCCAGUCUGCAGCGGACUCUCCUCCUGCGGGGGCCACCAGUCCUCAGUCCAGCCCUCUGUCUUCGUCUGGUGCCCCCUCCUUCACACCCUUCCCCUCCCACCAGCACCCCAGACACUGA